rnacentral:piRNA from 1 species
UGGAAGUAUGGUUGUGCCCAUCAGGAA